UACGUAGGGGGCAAGCGUUAUCCGGAUUUACUGGGUGUAAAGGGAGCGUAGACGGCAUGGCAAGCCAGAUGUGAAAUACCGGGGCUCAACCCCGGGACUGCAUUUGGAACUGUUAAGCUGGAGUGUCGGAGAGGCAGGCGGAAUUCCUAGUGUAGCGGUGAAAUGCGUAGAUACUAGGAGGAACACCAGUGGCGAAGGCGGCCUGCUGGACGAUAACUGACGUUGAGGCUCGAAAGCGUGGGGAGCAAACAGG
rnacentral:rRNA from 1 species